rnacentral:rRNA from 1 species
GAUGAACGCUGGCGGCGUGCCUAAUACAUGCAAGUCGAGCGAACAGACGAGGAGCUUGCUCCUUUGACGUUAGCGGCGGACGGGUGAGUAACACGUGGGUAACCUACCUAUAAGACUGGGAUAACUUCGGGAAACCGGAGCUAAUACCGGAUAAUAUUUCGAACCGCAUGGUUCGAUAGUGAAAGAUGGCUUUGCUGUCACUUAUAGAUGGACCUGCGCCGUAUUAGCUAGUUGGUAAGGUAACGGCUUACCAAGGCAACGAUACGUAGCCGACCUGAGAGGGUGGUCGGCCACACUGGAACUGAGACACGGUCCAGACUCCUACGGGAGGCAGCAGUAGGGAAUCUUCCGCAAUGGGCGAAAGCCUGACGGAGCAACGCCGCGUGAGUGAUGAAGGUCUUCGGAUCGUAAAACUCUGUUAUUAGGGAAGAACAAACGUGUAAGUAACUGUGCACGGCUUGACGGUACCUAAUCAGAAAGCCACGGCUAACUACGUG